GUGGAUAACUUCGGGAAACCGGAGCUAAUACCGGAUAAUAUUUUGAACCGCAUGGUUCAAAAGUGAAAGACGGUCUUGCUGUCACUUAUAGAUGGAUCCGCGCUGCAUUAGCUAGUUGGUAAGGUAACGGCUUACCAAGGCAACGAUGCAUAGCCGACCUGAGAGGGUGAUCGGCCACACUGGAACUGAGACACGGUCCAG
rnacentral:rRNA from 1 species